GAUGAACGCUGACAGAAUGCUUAACACAUGCAAGUCUUUGGCGAAUCUGUGCUUGCACAGGCUAGUCAAGGCGGACGGGUGAGUAACGCGUAAAGAACUUGCCCUGCAGACAGGGAUAACAGACGGAAACGACUGAUAACACCUGAUACAGUUGCCGGCACGCAUGUGCCUGGCAAUGAAAAGAGAUGCUGCAGGAGAGCUUUGCGUCCUAUUAGCUUGUUGGUGAGGUGACGGCUCACCAAGGCGAUGAUAGGUAGCCGGCCUGAGAGGAUGAACGGCCACAAGGAGACUGAGAUACGGCCCUUACUCCUACGGGAGGCAGCAGUGGGGAAUAUUGGACAAUGGGGGCAACCCUGAUCCAGCAAUUCUGUGUGCACGAAGAAGGUUUUCGGAUUGUAAAGUGCUUUCAGCAGGGAAGAAGAAAGUGACGGUACCUGCAGAAGAAGCGACGGCUAAAUACGUG
rnacentral:rRNA from 1 species